rnacentral:rRNA from 1 species
CUACGGGGUGCUCCAGUGAGGAAUAUUGGUCAAUGGACGGAAGUCUGAACCAGCCAAAUCGCGUGAAGGAAGACUGCCCUAUGGGUUGUAAACUUCUUUUAUAUGGGAAUAAAGUGCGCUACGUGUAGCGUUUUGUAUGUACCAUAUGAAUAAGGACCGGCUAACUCCGUGCCAGCAGCCGCGGUAAUACGGAGGGUCCGAGCGUUAUCCGGAUUUAUUGGGUUUAAAGGGUGCGUAGGCGGGAUAUCAAGUCAGCGGUGAAAUCUUCUAGCUCAACUAGAAAACUGCCGUUGAAACUGAUAUUCUUGAGUGUAAACGAGGUAAGCGGAAUGUGUCAUGUAGCGGUGAAAUGCUUAGAGAUGACACAGAACACCGAUUGCGAAGGCAGCUUACUAGGAUACAACUGACGCUGAGGCACGAAAGCGUGGGUAUCGAACAGGAUUAGAUACCCCCGUAGUC